rnacentral:rRNA from 1 species
CGAACGGCGAGAGGAGGUUUACUUUCUCAAGCGAGUGGCGAACGGGUGAGUAACGCGUGAGGACCUGCCUCAAAGAGGGGGACAACAGUUGGAAACGACUGCUAAUACCGCAUAAGCCGGCAUCGGAAAAGGAGCAAUCCGCUUUGAGAUGGCCUCGCGUCCGAUUAGCUAGUUGGUGAGGUAAUGGCCCACCAAGGCGACGAUCGGUAGCCGGACUGAGAGGUUGAACGGCCACAUUGGGACUGAGACACGGCCCAGACUCCUACGGGAGGCAGCAGUGGGGAAUAUUGCACAAUGGGGGAAACCCUGAUGCAGCGACGCCGCGUGGAGGAAGAAGGUCUUCGGAUUGUAAACUCCUGUUGUUGAGGAAGAUAAUGACGGUACUCAACAAGGAAGUGACGGCUAACUACGUGCCAGCAGCCGCGGUAAAACGUAGGUCACAAGCGUUGUCCGGAAUUACUGGGUGUAAAGGGAGCGCAGGCGGGAAGACAAGUUGGAAGUGAAACCCAUGGGCUCAACCCAUGAACUGCUUUCAAAACUGUUUUUCUUGAGUAGUGCAGAGGUAGGCGGAAUUCCCGGUGUAGCGGUGGAAUGCGUAGAUAUCGGGAGGAACACCAGUGGCGAAGGCGGCCUACUGGGCACCAACUGACGCUGAGGCUCGAAAGUGUGGGUAGCAAACAGGAUUAGAUACCCUGGUAGUCCACACUGUAAACGAUGAUUACUA